UAGGGAAUCUUCCACAAUGGGCGAAAGCCUGAUGGAGCAACGCCGCGUGUGUGAUGAAGGGUUUCGGCUCGUAAAACACUGUUGUAAGAGAAGAAUGACAUUGAGAGUAACUGUUCAGGUAUUGACGGUAUUUAACCAGAAAGCCACGGCUAACUACGUGCCAA
rnacentral:rRNA from 1 species